AGGAUUUAGGGUUUAGGGUUUAGGGUUUAGAGUUUAGGGUUUAGAUUUUAGGGUUUAGGGUUUAGGGUUUAGGGUUUAGAUUUUAGGGUUUAGGGUUUAGAGUUUAGGGUUUAGGGUUUAUGGUUUAGGGUUUAGGGUUUAAAGUUUAUGAUUUAGGGUUUAGAGUUUAGGGUUUAGAGUUUAGAGUUGAGAAAUGAGAUUUUGGGGAUAAGAUUUCAAAUUUUGAAAAAUA
rnacentral:lncRNA from 1 species